rnacentral:tRNA from 1 species
UUAACCCAGUGGUUAGAGUGUUGCUUUCAUACGGCGGGAGUCAUUGGUUCAAAUCCAAU